rnacentral:lncRNA from 10 species
AUAGUGAAGGCAGACCACAGGCUGGCAAAUGGAAAUGCAUGAUGCUUCCUAAGGCCUAGGCUCAGACCUGGCAACUGUCAAUUCCACUUUCCUCAUCUUAUAAAAUUCUGGUUCUCAAUGACACCAGCAUCAUUACUGAUUUGCUUUCUACUCACACACAAAUAGCCUCCAAAUAAGAAUGCCAACACUAUCACCAAAAAGGAAAAAUUAUCUUCGUUUCCCCAAGGCCUGCAGCUUUCAUAAGAAGGCAGGAGUUUUUGGAGGAGAGCGUCGUGUUCGUCUGUCUGUAGACCCUGAGACACUGAUUUACAGCAAGACUCACGGUGACAAGAAUAUAAACAUCUCUUCAAUUCAUUUGAUGAGGAAGAAAAGCUUUGAUAAAGAAACUUGACAAGAACUUUACAAGGAAGAAAAAUUACCAACAAUUUCUCCUAUCAAUGUAGAUGAAAAAUUCUAAACAAAAUGUGAGCAAAUUGAAUUCCAUUUUAUGUAAAUAGGAUAAUACAUUAUGAUGAAAUCAAGUUUAUUUAACAAUGCAAGACUGGUUUGCUAUUCAAAAAUCAAUGAAAUAUGAAUACAUAUGUAGAGCAACUAAAUGUUAAGAAACUCCGGUUUCCAGUCCAACAUGUGAAGAGCUUGGAAAUCUUCAUAUUAAAAAAAAAACUGAACAAAUUGAAAAUCAGCAAUUCUUACAUCCGUCAGAGAAUUGAGGUCCCAG